UUAAGCGACUAAGCGUACACGGUGGAUGCCCUGGCAGUCAGAGGCGAUGAAGGACGUGCUAAUCUGCGAUAAGCGUCGGUAAGGUGAUAUGAACCGUUAUAACCGGCGAUUUCCGAAUGGGGAAACCCAGUGUGUUUCGACACACUAUCAUUAACUGAAUCCAUAGGUUAAUGAGGCGAACCGGGGGAACUGAAACAUCUAAGUACCCCGAGGAAAAGAAAUCAACCGAGAUUCCCCCAGUAGCGGCGAGCGAACGGGGAGCAGCCCAGAGCCUGAAUCAGUGUGUGUGUUAGUGGAAGCGUCUGGAAAGGCGCGCGAUACAGGGUGACAGCCCCGUACACAAAAAUGCACAUAUUGUGAGCUCGAUGAGUAGGGCGGGACACGUGGUAUCCUGUCUGAAUAUGGGGGGACCAUCCUCCAAGGCUAAAUACUCCUGACUGACCGAUAGUGAACCAGUACCGUGAGGGAAAGGCGAAAAGAACCCCGGCGAGGGGAGUGAAAAAGAACCUGAAACCGUGUACGUACAAGCAGUGGGAGCACGCUUAGGCGUGUGACUGCGUACCUUUUGUAUAAUGGGUCAGCGACUUAUAUUCUGUAGCAAGGUUAACCGAAUAGGGGAGCCGAAGGGAAACCGAGUCUUAACUGGGCGUUAAGUUGCAGGGUAUAGACCCGAAACCCGGUGAUCUAGCCAUGGGCAGGUUGAAGGUUGGGUAACACUAACUGGAGGACCGAACCGACUAAUGUUGAAAAAUUAGCGGAUGACUUGUGGCUGGGGGUGAAAGGCCAAUCAAACCGGGAGAUAGCUGGUUCUCCCCGAAAGCUAUUUAGGUAGCGCCUCGUGAAUUCAUCUCCGGGGGUAGAGCACUGUUUCGGCAAGGGGGUCAUCCCGACUUACCAACCCGAUGCAAACUGCGAAUACCGGAGAAUGUUAUCACGGGAGACACACGGCGGGUGCUAACGUCCGUCGUGAAGAGGGAAACAACCCAGACCGCCAGCUAAGGUCCCAAAGUCAUGGUUAAGUGGGAAACGAUGUGGGAAGGCCCAGACAGCCAGGAUGUUGGCUUAGAAGCAGCCAUCAUUUAAAGAAAGCGUAAUAGCUCACUGGUCGAGUCGGCCUGCGCGGAAGAUGUAACGGGGCUAAACCAUGCACCGAAGCUGCGGCAGCGACGCUUAUGCGUUGUUGGGUAGGGGAGCGUUCUGUAAGCCUGCGAAGGUGUGCUGUGAGGCAUGCUGGAGGUAUCAGAAGUGCGAAUGCUGACAUAAGUAACGAUAAAGCGGGUGAAAAGCCCGCUCGCCGGAAGACCAAGGGUUCCUGUCCAACGUUAAUCGGGGCAGGGUGAGUCGACCCCUAAGGCGAGGCCGAAAGGCGUAGUCGAUGGGAAACAGGUUAAUAUUCCUGUACUUGGUGUUACUGCGAAGGGGGGACGGAGAAGGCUAUGUUGGCCGGGCGACGGUUGUCCCGGUUUAAGCGUGUAGGCUGGUUUUCCAGGCAAAUCCGGAAAAUCAAGGCUGAGGCGUGAUGACGAGGCACUACGGUGCUGAAGCAACAAAUGCCCUGCUUCCAGGAAAAGCCUCUAAGCAUCAGGUAACAUCAAAUCGUACCCCAAACCGACACAGGUGGUCAGGUAGAGAAUACCAAGGCGCUUGAGAGAACUCGGGUGAAGGAACUAGGCAAAAUGGUGCCGUAACUUCGGGAGAAGGCACGCUGAUAUGUAGGUGAAGCGACUUGCUCGUGGAGCUGAAAUCAGUCGAAGAUACCAGCUGGCUGCAACUGUUUAUUAAAAACACAGCACUGUGCAAACACGAAAGUGGACGUAUACGGUGUGACGCCUGCCCGGUGCCGGAAGGUUAAUUGAUGGGGUUAGCGGUAACGCGAAGCUCUUGAUCGAAGCCCCGGUAAACGGCGGCCGUAACUAUAACGGUCCUAAGGUAGCGAAAUUCCUUGUCGGGUAAGUUCCGACCUGCACGAAUGGCGUAAUGAUGGCCAGGCUGUCUCCACCCGAGACUCAGUGAAAUUGAACUCGCUGUGAAGAUGCAGUGUACCCGCGGCAAGACGGAAAGACCCCGUGAACCUUUACUAUAGCUUGACACUGAACAUUGAGCCUUGAUGUGUAGGAUAGGUGGGAGGCUUUGAAGUGUGGACGCCAGUCUGCAUGGAGCCGACCUUGAAAUACCACCCUUUAAUGUUUGAUGUUCUAACGUUGACCCGUAAUCCGGGUUGCGGACAGUGUCUGGUGGGUAGUUUGACUGGGGCGGUCUCCUCCUAAAGAGUAACGGAGGAGCACGAAGGUUGGCUAAUCCUGGUCGGACAUCAGGAGGUUAGUGCAAUGGCAUAAGCCAGCUUGACUGCGAGCGUGACGGCGCGAGCAGGUGCGAAAGCAGGUCAUAGUGAUCCGGUGGUUCUGAAUGGAAGGGCCAUCGCUCAACGGAUAAAAGGUACUCCGGGGAUAACAGGCUGAUACCGCCCAAGAGUUCAUAUCGACGGCGGUGUUUGGCACCUCGAUGUCGGCUCAUCACAUCCUGGGGCUGAAGUAGGUCCCAAGGGUAUGGCUGUUCGCCAUUUAAAGUGGUACGCGAGCUGGGUUUAGAACGUCGUGAGACAGUUCGGUCCCUAUCUGCCGUGGGCGCUGGAGAACUGAGGGGGGCUGCUCCUAGUACGAGAGGACCGGAGUGGACGCAUCACUGGUGUUCGGGUUGUCAUGCCAAUGGCACUGCCCGGUAGCUAAAUGCGGAAGAGAUAAGUGCUGAAAGCAUCUAAGCACGAAACUUGCCCCGAGAUGAGUUCUCCCUGACUCCUUGAGAGUCCUGAAGGAACGUUGAAGACGACGACGUUGAUAGGCCGGGUGUGUAAGCGCAGCGAUGCGUUGAGCUAACCGGUACUAAUGAACCGUGAGGCUUAACCUU
rnacentral:rRNA from 1 species